rnacentral:rRNA from 1 species
CCCAGACUCCUACGGGAGGCAGCAGUGGGGAAUAUUGCACAAUGGGGGAAACCCUGAUGCAGCGACGCCGCGUGAGUGAAGAAGUAUCUCGGUACGUAAAGCUCUAUCAGCAGGGAAGAAAAUGACGGUACCUGAAGAAGAAGCCCCGGCUAACUACGUGCCAGCAGCCGCGGUAAUACGUAGGGGGCAAGCGUUAUCCGGAUUUACUGGGUGUAAAGGGGGCGCAGACGGCGAUGCAAGCCAGGAGUGAAAGCCCGGGGCCCAACCCCGGGACUGCUCUUGGAACUGCGUGGCUGGAGUGCAGGAGGGGCAGGCGGAAUUCCUGGUGUAGCGGUGAAAUGCGUAGAUAUCAGGAGGAACACCGGUGGCGAAGGCGGCCUGCUGGACUGCAACUGACGUUGAGGUCCGAAAGCGUGGGGAGCAAACAGGAUUAGAUACCCCCGUACUG